CUUGAUUAAUUUGUUUAUUGUGGCAUUAAGAUCCUUUUUCAUUUUUUUGUAUAGCUUGAAUGUUGAUUCGUCCUUUGUAGUUUUCGCGAUAGUAAAAAGUGCAUCUAUUUCAUUUAUCCUUUUUUUAAUAUAAGGAUCCUGAAGUUUUCUUCUCGAUUUAGACGAUCGCCCAUUUUUCAUAUUUGUUUCAGGAAAACAUUCAUGAAAGGCACCAAGAAAAUUUUUAUGGAAUAAUUCAUAUGAUUCUCGUGCCGUGGUGGAAUAUACUGAACCCCAGUUAAAACUGCUUAGUCUUUGGUGGAAUUGACGAGUUCUGGAUUCAUUAAUUUUGCGAACCUUGCGGUAUGUUUUUUUUUCAGGAGUUUUAUUAAUUUUUAGUUCCAUUCUCUGGGCCAGAUGAUCAGACAUAUGGAGAUUAACGAUGUUUGGGUUAUCCGCGAUGGUUCAUCGAACACCACAUGCAGGCCAUGGGAUUCCACGAGUUCGACUAAUUCUUGUUUUUCAUUACUUUCUGUAAUAAAAUUAAUAUUGAAAUCU